rnacentral:lncRNA from 1 species
AAAUAUGCAGAAAUUAUUCUAUGCGAAAUAUUGAACAAAUAUUUAGAAAUUAUUACAUGCUACUAGGGUUGAUUUGGUUGCACAAUGGAGAAUGCAGGUUUGUACGGUUAUAUGUAUUGCAUUUCUUUUUUAAUAGUUUAUAAGGUAAGAAAAACCUGUUUUUUUAUAUUUUAUGCUUGUUCUCCUGAAUAUGUUCUACAACGUGUUGCAAGUCAAUGUUCGGCUAAUCCCCUGAAUCAAGAGUAAUUACAGUUAAUUGCAGUCGCUCGAUAGCACAGUUAGUCAGAUAAGUUCUCGUGUAUUACCGAUAAUAUGCAGAUGUAAAUAUUGAUUAAGAUUUUUGGAAAUAUCAGUAAAUCCUCGGAGUACAUCGGCAGUAUUAAGAUAAGCUGCUGUGAGAAAUUGCGAAUUACGUGUCGGAAAUGGUUAAUUGACAUUAAAUCUUUUUAUUCAACUUAUAGAAUAUAAAACUACAGGUGUGUUCAUUUUAUUGUAAAGUGCAAAAAUGUACUACAAGCCCCCCUAAUAGCACAAAAUAAUUGUCUUAUAUUUUCUAUAUAUUUACUAAAUACCCUACGUUUUGCAAAUAUUUAUCAGAUAUUUGAUAUAUCUGCAAAACACUUUAGAAUAUUAUUUUUAUAAUAUUUGUACAAUAUUAGCUCCACGUGUCUCCCUAAUAUUUUGCAUACAUACAUACAUAACGUUUCCUUUCAUUUUAAUGUCAGUAAUUUUUAAAUAUUACCUGCCGAACACAUCAUAAAGUAAACAAUGUAUCUUUAUUAUACGUUUAUAAAUUAUUAAAGCCAAACAUGUCGCAGAGACUUUCAACAAAUAUUUUAGAUAUCUUGGAGUGAAAUCCACGAGACAUCUUAAAAAAUCUGUCGCUCGAGAUAUUUAGCAAAGAUAAGAAAAGAAAAUAUUUAAAAAUUAUUCUGUGCUGCUAGGGCCCAUUCAAAUCGGUUUUCAACCACGCUGAAAAGCUGUAUUUUCCCUAGCCAGUGUGAAUUAAUAUUUAAUAGAAAUUUUACUGCAAAAAAGUUGAACCCUUUCAACAGGGAGCAGGGUUUAGGGACGCUUGGCGUCGUCCCUAACCUCUCAUCCCCACUCCAAGAUCCACGCCGACGACACUUGCCGUGACUCAUUUGCUUCCACUAAAUUCCCCCCACCUCUGUCUCUUACUAAUUACACGGCUUUUAAGUUACGACACUUGUUUUCAUAGUAAUUCAUCGAGUCUCCAGGCAUGUACGGGAAGGCACCCGCACAGAGCGCUUCUUUACCAACCGGAUCUUUCUCGAGAUCCCUCAUUGGCUCAGUAUUGAACGGGAUGCCGCCGGCGCCACAGCUGCUUCUUCGUAACUCCCGUCGCUCCCCUCUUCACACGUGCCGAGUGUCUUCGAACUUCACACCUAGAGGGACGGAAUUGGCCGCUCUAGUCGGCCUACAGCCUCUUCGGCGUAACUCCAAGGUCUUCGCUAUUUAUAUCCCGCAUUGAGAGAAACUUUGGACACCAGAAAACGAGGCUUUGGACAGCUGCGUACAAUUAAUAUAAUGACCUUAGUAAAAAUAACCCGCGGCUCUGCAUUCCGACUGAUAAUUAUUAUCGAAUGUACGUUUAAUCAUACUUCACGGAGAAAAAGAGCCUUAAGGUGAUAUGAAAGACUUGUUCUAUAUAUCGAAAUGUGAAAAUAUUUAUUCUACUCUUCUCCUAACUGAGCGGAAUAUUGCGAAGAAUGUGGAAUACUGACCACUAUACUACCGAGGAAAAUUAGAUAUAUGUGUUUCGUAGAUUUGCAUUUAGUGACAUUACCUCUUUAUUGGGAAAUAGAUAAGCGGACUAACGAUUAGAAUUUUUAAGGGAUUAAUUAUAAGCCGAAUUGUCGACGAAUUCGAGAAUUCAUAUAAAAAUCCAUAAUUGUUAUGGAGAAAUAUUGGGAAGAAUGUGGAAUACUGACCACUAUACUACCGAGGAAAAUUAGAUGUAUGUGUUUCAUAGAUUUGCAUUUAAUGACAUUACCUCUUUAUUGGGAAAUAGAUAAGCGGACUGACGAUUAGAGCCUGUAAACGAUUAAUUAUAACCCCAAAUUUCGAGGAAAACAUUGAAUAUCAAAUUUACAAUCGUUGUACUUGCAAAAGUCUACUGAUACACGACAUUAAGUGUUCAAUUGCAUAAAUCUGUUCCAGACAUGUCUUUGCACUACAUAUAGCAUUACUUGAUACUUUUCGAACAGAUAAGCAAACGAUGUGAUGAAUUGCAUAAUAAAGACGUCUCAAGGUCA